AAGAAUGUGGUGCAGUGGUCAGUGCACCCGCCUGGAAAACAGGAGACGUAGGUUCAAAUCCUACCGGUGUCU
rnacentral:tRNA from 1 species